UACGUAGGUGGCAAGCGUUGUCCGGAAUUAUUGGGCGUAAAGCGCGCGCAGGCGGUCCUUUAAGUCUGAUGUGAAAGCCCACGGCUCAACCGUGGAGGGUCAUUGGAAACUGGGGGACUUGAGUGCAGAAGAGGAAAGCGGAAUUCCACGUGUAGCGGUGAAAUGCGUAGAGAUGUGGAGGAACACCAGUGGCGAAGGCGGCUUUCUGAUCUGUAACUGACGCUGAGGCGCGAAAGCGUGGGGAGCAAACAGG
rnacentral:rRNA from 1 species